UGGACCAUCUUUGUCUCAUAACCUGUCAUUAGCCAAAUGAGUUCAAUAGCGAUGCAUAUCUUGAUUCAUGUUUUUGAACUUAAUGAAUGUUAAAGGGAUUGGUUAAUGUUGACGCAUUGUGCAUUUGAGUGUAGGUUUGGAUCAUAACAGAGCAUGUCUAAAGUUUUUAAGUAGAAGUCGAUCACCUCACAUCUUAGAACUGUUAGCUGGUACAUUGAUCUUAAUUGUCAUAUCUCAUGCUUUGGUUCUGAAUCCCCAACAUCAAACCUCUCCUUCCGCUUAUGUCUUCUUCUUUGCUUGAGGGCAAGCAAACACUAAGUUUGGGGGAGUUGAUAUGUCUAUAAUUUGCAUGAUUUAGGCUUUCAUUCUUCACCACUUUGUCAUUAUUUCAUCCACAUUUCAUCUCAUUAGGAGUCGUUUUAGUGUGUUUUACAUACUUAGGACGAUUUUGCAUUAGGAUUGCAUGUGCAUGGUAUAUUUGGUUGUUUUCAGGUACUUUGGAUGCUUUUGGAGUUCAAACAGAGGAGAAACAGAACAGGAAGUCAGAAUACCCAAUGACGCCUUCAGCAAAAGUACUCUAUCGCAGCCUCGGAGCCCUGCCAGGGCAAAUCACUCUAUCGCAACCCCGAAGAAGCUAGCAGCUCAAUAGCGAAGCCGGAGGAAUCACCCCAUCAGAACCACUCGAUCACCACUCGAUCACCAGGAGGCCUAUCUGCUCGAUCUGCACUCAACCAGACAAGCUGAGAACGAAGAAGAGAAGAGAAGCUGAAACAACCACUCGAUCACCACCUCAUGACAUCCACUCGAUCACAGGGUCAUUGGACCAUUCAAUCUCGACUUCACUACAUCUCACUCGAUCGCAAGGCGGAGCCCCUGAAGCCCAGUUUGAUCAAUGACAUACUCGAUCAUAGGAAAGCUCAUUUCAGCCCAUCAGAUGCCAAUGACACAUUCGGUCACAGGGUCAUGACGUGAAGAUUCGCUAUAUAUCUAGUUUCCUUAUUUGUUUCUUUCUCGCUUAUAUAAACUGCCUCUA
rnacentral:sRNA from 1 species